GCCAGGCCUCGAUGAGUAGGA
rnacentral:snRNA from 1 species